UACGUAGGGGGCUAGCGUUGUCCGGAAUCAUUGGGCGUAAAGCGCGUGUAGGCGGCCAUGUAGGUCUGACGUGAAAUUCCGAGGCUCAACCUCGGCAGGUCGUUGGAAACCAUAUGGCUAGAGUCCGGAAGAGGAGAGUGGAAUUCCUGGUGUAGCGGUGAAAUGCGCAGAUAUCAGGAAGAACACCAAUGGCGAAGGCAGCUCUCUGGGACGGUACUGACGCUGAGACGCGAAAGCGUGGGGAGCGAACAGG
rnacentral:rRNA from 1 species